rnacentral:tRNA from 1 species
UCCUCGAUAGCUCAACGGUAGAGCACUCGGCUGUUAACCGAGGGGUUGUAGGUUCGAAUCCUACUCGAGGAGCCA